GAAGUCAGUGGUAGGACUCGAGCUUCCCAAGCUCGCGGCCCGGGUUCAAUUCCCGGUCG
rnacentral:tRNA from 1 species